rnacentral:lncRNA from 1 species
GGUCCCCACGGUCAUCACGCUUUGCUUUCUCAGCCAAGAUCUCGGGGCUCAGGGCGGAAACGCAGCGGAUAUGUAUUUUCUUCCGGGGUUGGUGGCGCUCGGCUCUCAUGACCUGCAGGAAAAGAAGAAGAAAUGGCAGUAAAGAGGGCAACCAUCAUUCCACCCAGCCCAAAAGGAAUAAGAGAAACCCUAUCUUUCAGGAUUCUCAAGAUACAGAGGUAUUUUCAUGGAGUGAUAAUGAAAGGAGCAGCAGCCGCAUUAAUAUCCCAGAGAGAGCAAGUGGACCAGAAGGCAACUUAAACCAGAUUGUUACUGAACCCGAUGCAAACUUUCCCCAGUUCUUGCAUGAGGGGUAUGUACCAUGCCAAGGUCUUUACUCCCAUAUCAACCAGACCUUGAAGGAGGCUCACUUCAACAGCCUGCAGCAGCGAGGGCAAGCUCCAACAUGAUGAAUUAGGACUUCCUUAUUCCAACCUAAACUGUGUUUAUAAAAGCAAUUGCAUACACACCAAAAAAAGUCUAUUGGUUUUUAAGUCUACAUUUUAAGUAACAAGUUAAUGGGCAGUUGUUUAAUUGGGGUUUUACUUCACUGUUGUACUUUUAAAGGGGCUGUGAAUAAAUGUUUAUGAAAUUU